UAGGGAAUAUUGGUCAAUGGAUGCAAGUCUGAACCAGCCAUGCCGCGUGCAGGAAGAAGGCCUUCUGGGUCGUAAACUGCUUUUACCAGGGGAUAAAAUUCCGAUGCGUCGGAAAUUGAAGGUACCUGGUGAAUAAGCCACGGCUAACUACGUGCCAGCAGCCGCGGUAAUACGUAGGUGGCAAGCGUUGUCCGGAUUUAUUGGGUUUAAAGGGUGCGUAGGCGGUCCUAUAAGUCAGUGCUGAAAUAUCCCGGCUUAACCGGGAGGGUGGCAUUGAUACUGCAGGACUUGAGUAGAGUUGAGGUAAGCGGAAUUGACGGUGUAGCGGUGAAAUGCUUAGAUAUCGUCAAGAACACCUAUUGCGAAGGCAGCUUACUAAGCUCAAACUGACGCUGAGGCACGAAAGUGUGGGGAUCAAAC
rnacentral:rRNA from 1 species